rnacentral:rRNA from 1 species
CUGGUAGUCCACGCCGUAAACGAUGAGUGCUAAGUGUUAGAGGGUUUCCGCCCUUUAGUGCUGCAGCUAACGCAUUAAGCACUCCGCCUGGGGAGUACGGUCGCAAGACUGAAACUCAAAGGAAUUGACGGGGGCCCGCACAAGCGGUGGAGCAUGUGGUUUAAUUUGAAGCAACGCGAAGAACCUUACCAGGUCUUGACAUCCUUUGACAACUUUAGAGAUAGAGCGUUCCCCUUCGGGGGACAGAGUGACAGGUGGUGCAUGGUUGUCGUCAGCUCGUGUCGUGAGAUGUUGGGUUAAGUCCCGCAACGAGCGCAACCCUUGAUCUUAGUUGCCAGCAUUUAGUUGGGCACUUUAAGGUGACUGCCGGUGACAAACCGGAGGAAGGUGGGGAUGACGUCAAAUCAUCAUGCCCCUUAUGACCUGGGCUACACACGUGCUACAAUGGAUGGUACAAAGGGCUGCAAGACCGCGAGGUCAAGCCAAUCCCAUAAAACCAUUCUCAGUUCGGAUUGUAGGCUGCAACUCGCCUACAUGAAGCUGGAAUCGCUAGUAAUCGCGGAUCAGCAUGCCGCGGUGAAUACGUUCCCGGGCCUUGUACACACCGCCCGUCACACCACGAGAGUUUGUAACACCCGAAGUCGGUGGAGUAACCGUAAGGAGCUAGCC